UUGAGUAUACUAAGUGUCAUGGCAGGGGGUACACCAGCGUGCUUGGAUCGAUGAUGAUUUCCAAUAAAACAUUCCUUGGAAAGCUGAACAAAAUGAGUGAAAACUCAAUACCGCCACUGUCAUCGUGACUGAGGUCCAACACCUGGGAUCACAAAUGUCACUGAGGGACUCACAUGGCCUCCAUUCACCUUGCGAGACUUGGAUCCAGUGAGAGAGCCUUCAGAAUGUUCUUUGCUUGCCUAAAUCACCAGAAAUCAUGGCCUAAAUCAAGGCUUCACCUUUUGCUCUAAUGAUAACAUGCUUUCCGGUUGAGGAGAUCAUUGUCAGUAUCUUGGAAGUUAGCCCUACCAACUCCAUCAGCAAUAAUGUAUAGUAGGUUGUGAGGCAAGUGUAAGUUUAGCGGGGGCAGCAUAGUUCAACAAUGUACACUGGAAUGUCAGGAAAUGUGUUUCUGUCCGUGUCUGAAUCCUUCGCAUGAAUGAUAACCCUUCUGUUUCAUAAAACAGAGAUACAUAACGGGAAUGUUACAGGCGACAUGUGGAAUGAGGCAGUAGCAAUUCUCAGGAAAUAUGGGAAUGUGGACUCUUCCUGUGUGAAAACAAAGCUCUGUUUUCUUGAAAGACUGAUUGUGGCCAUGGCAUUUAGGUUAGAAAGAGAGCCUUGGAAUUUAAAAGGUUGGCAUGUAGCCUUCUUGUCGGAGGAUUCUAGAAGUGCAUGCUUUCAAAUGUCCAAGGAUUCAUACCACCUUUAUGGAUGUAUGGAGAACACCCAUUUUAAUCCUAGUUUCUAUGUUUAUUGUUGGGACAUUUUUUGUCAGUCUAUCCGGGUAGUUUGCCACUAGUUCUUAUGGAUUGACUGUACCAAAAUGGUCUGGACAUACAUCUCCUCCUCUUCUAGGAUCUAAGAAUGUGAGCAUGCAAGUUUGUUUCUUACACACAUUCCUUCUAGGAAUUUUAUAUUUUGGUAUGGCCGUAGAAUAUAGGCAUGGAGUGUCUGCAGGAUUAUCUUUCCUUAUGGUCUUGAUGAGGCCUUGCUGAAGGUUAACUUGGCAUUCUGGCUAUGUGUUUUGGGGCUGAAGGUAGUCCUGAUAUCUUAGACAUUGUUCUUUUCUCCAAGCAAAUAUCAACAAGAAAUUGUGUUUCCAUUUGAUUAUGAAAGUGAGCUGUAUGCUUAGGAUCAUGCUGUUGAUAAUAACAUAUAUCUCAGGGACUACAGGUUAUGCUUGUGUUUGGUGACCUGAGAGGGUUUGAACAGACACUUUCUCUGUGGUGAUCAAUGUCAGAUACCGCAGCAAUAGCACUCACAGGAAUUUAGUACCAGUCAAAAUCUGAAUAGGAGAUAUAUGAGCAUGGUCAGAGACAGAGAGAAAGAACAAUUGUUGAAGAGGCUAAGCAUGUGUGAGACAGAGGAAGACAGUGAGAGACAGAAAGAGAGAGGGGUGGGAGAGGGGGGGUGAAGUGGAAAAGAGGACACUGUGAUAUUAAAGCAGAUAUCUUGAUUGAGAGAAAUAAGGAAACCAAAUAGAGAGAAUGUGAGUGAGAAACUGAGAAGCUAGGAGAGUCACUGCAAGUCAAUUUCAGAGAGAAAGUGAAGAAGCGAGAGAGAGAAAGAGUACAUAAGAAGUCCAUUCAUCUAAUGUGGAUGAGAAUCUUAUAUGAUAUUUGAAUCGGUUCUCAUCGAAGGCAGAGUAGGAAUAAUAGGUGUAGUAUGUUAUGAUUAUGGAGGGUGCUCCGAUUGUGGCCAAAGCUAUUAAGAUUCUGGUGGUUUCCAUGGGAAGAGUAAGGCCUGAUUUUCUCUGUCAUAUCCGGCUGAACUGAGAUUUACUUAUUUUUGUAGACAACUUCCAUUAAGCCAUGUUGUUGGUCUCAUUCUUUUGUGUACCUCGUGCCAAUUUCUUUGGAUGGUUCUCAAGUGAUGUAUAUACUACUGUAGUUUUCGUUAUCAGAUAUUGACUUCGUCCCAUCUUAAGAACUUUGUUGCAUGGUAACCUCCAGGAAUUCGGUGAUAGAAUUGGGAAAAUUAUGUCCCCAAACAGUUCCUUGGAGGAAAAAUAUCUCUGAUAUGGAUUGUGAGGGCAAAUUUCUAGAGGACAGAAGGAGUGCUGAGAGAGCCCAAGUGUUCGAUAAAUUAAGAACUAACAACAAUGCAUCACAGUCUCCAUGAUUUGCAAGGAAUCCAAUAAAGUGGGGGAAUGUGCUAUUUGCUUUACUUUCAGGGACAGAGUCCCUGUCUCAUACCAGACAAGCACGGCUUGGAGAGGAACUGAGUAUGGAAUAUCAGAUGAAGUUGGAAGAAGCCUAACAUCGCCUGCCCUGAAGUCCUCAGUUGAAGCUCUCUUGCCUGAGGAUACCUGAAGUGAAACGGACAGAGUCCCUGUCUCAUACCGGACAAGCACGGCUUGGAGAGGAACUGAGUAUGGAACAUCAGAUGAAUUUGGAAGAACCCUAACAUCGCCUGCCCUGAAGUCCUCAGUUGAAGCUCUCUUGCCUGAGGAUACCUGAAGUGAAAGGGACAGAGUCCCUGUCUCAUACCGGACAAGCACGGCUUGGAGAGGAACUGAGUAUGGAACAUCAGAUGAAGUUGGAAGAACCCUAACAUCGCCUGCCCUGAAGUCCUCAGUUGAAGCUCUCUUGCCUGAGGAUACCUGAAGUGAAAGGGACAGAGUCCCUGUCUCAUACCGGACAAGCACCGUUUGGAGAGGAACUGAGUAUGGAACAUCAGAUGAAGUUGGAAGAAGCCUAACAUCGCCUGCCCUGAAGUCCUCAGUUGAAGCUCUCUUGCCUGAGGAUACCUGAAGUGAAAGGUAAGAAACACUUGACUUUCCAAAGGAACUCAAAGUGCUCAGGUGUUGAUGGAGCUCGCAGGAGUUCCCAACCUUGAAUCAUGAUCCUUUGGGACCUGGUUCAGGCUCACAGCCUGUGGCUACUCCUGUGAUUGGAGAAUAGGCCCAGUGGUUCGUGGUAAAGGAUGUGAAUGUCUUGAAUUCUGUUCGCUCACCAAACCUGAUCUAUUUUGAGUAUACUAAGUGUCAUGGCAGGGGGUACACCAGCGUGCUUGGAUCGAUGAUGAUUUCCAAUAAAACAUUCCUUGGAAAGCUGAACAAAAUGAGUGAAAACUCAAUACCGCCACUGUCAUCGUGACUGAGGUCCAGCACCUGGGAUCACAAAUGUCACUGAGGGACUCACAUGGCCUCCAUUCACCUUGCGAGACUUGGAUCCAGUGAGAGAGCCUUCAGAAUGUUCUUUGCUUGCAUAAAUCACCAGAAAUCAUGGCCUAAAUCAAGGCUUCACCUUUUGCUCUAAUGAUAACAUGCUUUCCGGUUGAGGAGAUCAUUGUCAGUAUCUUUGAAGUUAGCCCUACCAACUCCAUCAGCAAUAAUGUAUAGUAGGUUGUGAGGCAAAUGUAAGUUUACCGGGGGCAGCAUAGUUCAACAAUGUACACUGGAAUGUCAGGAAAUGUGUUUCUGUCCGUGUCUGAAGCCUUCGCAUGAAUGAUAACCCUUCUGUUUCAUAAAACAGAGAUACCUAACGGGAAGGUUACAGGCGAUAUGUGGAAUGAGGCAGUAGCAAUUCUCAGGAACUAUGGGAAUGUGGACUCUUCCUGUGUGAAAAGAAAGCUCUGUUUUCUUGAAAGACUGACUGUGGCCAUGGCAUUUAGGUUGGAAAGAGAGCCUUGGAAUUUAAAAGGUUGGCAUGUAGCCUUCUUGUCGGAGGAUUCUAGAAGUGCAUGCUUUCAAAUGUCCAAGGAUUCAUACCACCUUCAUGGAUGUAUGGAGAACACCCAUUUUAAUCCUAGUUUCUAUGUUUAUUGUUGGGACAUUUUUUGUCAGUCUAUCCGGGUAGUUUGCCACUAGUUCUUAUGGAUUGACUGUACCAAAAUGGUCUGGACAUACAUCUACUUCUCUUCUAGGAUCUAAGAAUGUGAGCAUGCAAAUUUGUUUGUUACACACACUCCUUCUAGGAAUUUUAUAAUUUGGUAUGGCCGUAGCAGAUAGGCAUGGUGUGUCUGCGGGAUUAUCUUUCCUUAUGGUCUUGAUGUGGCUUUGCUGAAGGUUAACUUGGCAUUUUGGCUAUGUGUUUUGGGGCUGAUGGUAGUCCUGUUAUCUUAGACAAUGUUCUUUUCUCCAAGCAAAUAUCAACAAGAAAUUGUGUUUCCAUUUGAUUAUGGAAGUGAGCUGUAUGCUUAGGAUCAUGCUGUUGAUAAUAACAUAUAUCUCAGGGACUACAGGUUAUGCUUGUGUUUGGUGACCCUAGAGGGUUUGAACAGACACUUUCUCUGUGGUGAUCAAUGUCAGAUACCACAGCAAUAGCACUCACAGGAAUUUAGUACCAGUCAAAACCUGAAUAGGAGAUAUAUGAGCAUGGACAGAGACAGAGAGAAAGAACAAUUGUUGAAGAGGCUAAGCAUGUGUGAGACAGAGGAAGACAGUGAGAGACAGAAAGAGAGAGCGGGGGAAAGAGGGAGGGUGAAGUGGAAAAGAGGACACUGUGAUAUUAAAGCAGAUAUCUUGAUUGAGAGAAAUAAGGAAACCAAAUAGAGAGAAUGUGAGUGAGAAACUGAGAAGCUAGGAGAGUCACUGCUAGUCAAUUUCAGAGAGAUAGUGAAGAUGCGAGAUAGAGAAAGAGUACAUAAGAAGUCCAUUCAUCUAAUGUGGAUGAGAAUCUUAUAUGAUAUUUGAAUCGGUUCUCAUCGAAGGCAGAGUAGGAAUAAUAGGUGUAGUAUGUUAUGAUUAUGGAGGGUGCUCCGAUUGUGGCCAAAGCUAUUAAGAUUCUGGUGGUUUCCAUGGGAAGAGUAAGGCCUGAUUUUCUCUGUCAUAUCCGGCUGAACUGAGAUUUACUUAUUUUUGUAGACAACUUCCAUUAAGCCAUGUUGUUGGUCUCAUUCUUUUGUGUACCUCGUGCCAAUUUCUUUGGAUGGUUCUCAAGUGAUGUAUAUACUACUGUAGUUUUCGUUAUCAGAUAUUGACUUCGUCCCAUCUUAAGAACUUUGUUGCAUGGUAACCUCCAGGAAUUCGGUGAUAGAAUUGGGAAAAUUAUGUCCCCAAACAGUUCCUUGGAGGAAAAAUAUCUCUGAUAUGGAUUGUGAGGGCAAAUUUCUAGAGGACGGAAGGAGUGCUGAGAGAGCCCAAGUGUUCGAUAAAUUAAGAACUAACAACAAUGCAUCACAGUCUCCAUGAUUUGCAAGGAAUCCAAUAAAGUGGGGGAAUGUGCUAUUUGCUUUACUUUCAGGGACAGAGUCCCUGUCUCAUACCGGACAAGCACGGCUUGGAGAGGAACUGAGUAUGGAACAUCAGAUGAAGUUGGAAGAAGCCUAACAUCGCCUGCCCUGAAGUCCUCAGUUGAAGCUCUCUUGCCUGAGGAUACCUGAAGUGAAAGGUAAGAAACACUUGACUUUCCAAAGGAACUCAAAGUGCUCAGGUGUUGAUGGAGCUCGCAGGAGUUCCCAACCUUGAAUCAUGAUCCUUUGGGACCUGGUUCAGGCUCACUGCCUGUGGCUACUCCUGUGAUUGGAGAAUAGGCCCAUUGGUUCGUGGUAAAGGAUGUGAAUGUCUUGAAUUCUGUUCGCUCACCAAACCUGAUCUAUUUUGAGUAUACUAAGUGUCAUAGCAGGGGGAACACCAGCGUGCUUGGAUCGAUAAUGAUUUCCAAUAAAACAUUCCUUGGACAGCUGAACAAAAUGAGUGAAAACUCAAUACCGCCACUGUCAUCGUGACUGAGGUCCAGCACCUGGGAUCACAAAUGUCACUGAGGGACUCACAUGGCCUCCAUUCACCUUGCGAGACUUGGAUCCAGUGAGAGAGCCUUCAGAAUGUUCUUUGCUUGCCUAAAUCACCAGAAAUCAUGGCCUAAAUCCAGGCUUCACCUUUUGCUCUAAUGAUAACAUGCUUUCCGGUUGAGGAGAUCAUUGUCAGUAUCUUUGAAGUUAGCCCUACCAACUCCAUCAGCAAUAAUGUAUAGUAGGUUGUGAGGCAAAUGUAAGUUUAGCGGGGGCAGCAUAGUUCAACAAUGUACACUGGAAUGUCAGGAAAUGUGUUUCUGUCCGUGUCUGAAUCCUUCGCAUGAAUGAUAACCCUUCUGUUUCAUAAAACAGAGAUACAUAACGGGAAGGUUACAGGCGACAUGUGGAAUGAGGCAGUAGCAAUUCUCAGGAACUAUGGGAAUUGGACUCUUCCUGUGUGAAAACAAAGCUCUGUUUUCUUGAAAGACUGAUUGUGGCCAUGGCAAUUAGGUUGGAAAGAGAGCCUUGGAAUUUAAAAGGUUGGCAUGUAGCCUUCUUGUCGGAGGAUUCUAGAGGUGCAUGCUUUCAAAUGUCCCAGGAUUCAUACCACCUUCAUGGAUGUAUGGAGAACACCCAUUUUAAUCCUAGUUUCUAUGUUUAUUUUUGGGACAUUUUUUGUCAGUCUAUCCGGGUAGUUUGCCACUAGUUCUUAUGGAUUGACUGUAGCAAAAUGGUCUGGACAUACAUCUCCUCCUCUUCUAGGAUCUAAGAAUGUGAGCAUGCAAGUUUGUUUCUUACACACACUCCUUCUAGGAAUUUUAUAUUUUGGUAUGGCCGUAGAAGAUAAGCAUGGAGUGUCUGCAGGAUUAUCUUUCCUUAUGGUCUUGAUGAGGCCUUGCUGAAGGUUAACUUGGCAUUCUGGCUAUGUGUUUUGGGGCUGAUGGUAGUCCUGAUAUCUUAGACAUUGUUCUUUUCUCCAAGCAAAUAUCAACAAGAAAUUGUGUUUCCAUUUGAUUAUGAAAGUGAGCUGUAUGCUUAGGAUCAUGCUGUUGAUAAUAACAUAUAUCUCAGGGACUACAGGUUAUGCUUGUGUUUGGUGACCUGAGAGGGUUUGAACAGACACUUUCUCUGUGGUGAUCAAUGUCAGAUACCGCAGCAAUAGCACUCACAGGAAUUUAGUACCAGUCAAAACCUGAAUAGGAGAUAUAUGAGCAUGGUCAGAGACAGAGAGAAAGAACAAUUGUUGAAGAGGCUAAGCAUGUGUGAGACAGAGGAAGACGGUGAGAGACAGAAAGAGAGAGGGGUGGGAGAGGGGGGGUGAAGUGGAAAAGAGGACACUGUGAUAUUAAAGCAGAUAUCUCGAUUGAGAGAAAUAAGGAAACCAAAUAGAGAGAAUGUGAGUUUGAAACUGAGAAGCUAGGAGAGUCACUGCAAGUCAAUUUCAGAGAGAAAGUGAAGAAGCGAGAGAGAGAAAGAGUACAUAAGAAGUCCAUUCAUCUAAUGUGGAUGAGAAUCUUAUAUGAUAUUUGAAUCGGUUCUCAUCGAGUGCAGAGUAGGAAUAAUAGGUGUAGUAUGUUAUGAUCAUGGAGGGUGCUCAGAUUGUGGCCAAAUCUAUUAAGAUUCUGGUGGUUUCCAUGGGAAGAGUAAGGCCUGAUUUUCUCUGUCAUAUCCGGCUGAACUGAGAUUUACUUAUUUUUGUAGACAACUUCCAUUAAGCCAUGUUGUUGGUCUCAUUCUUUUGUGUUCCUUGUGCCAAUUUCUUUGGAUGGUUCUCAAGUGAUGUAUAUACUACUGUAGUUUUCGUUAUCAGAUAUUGACUUCGUCCCAUCUUAAGAACUUUGUUGCAUGGUAACCUCCAGGAAUUCGGUGAUAGAAUUGGGAAAAUUAUGUCCCCAAACAGUUCCUUGGAGGAAAAAUAUCUCUGAUAUGGAUUGUGAGGGCAAAUUUCUAGAGGACGGAAGGAGUGCUGAGAGAGCCCAAGUGUUCGAUAAAUUAAGAACUAACAACAAUGCAUCACAGUCUCCAUGAUUUGCAAGGAAUCCAAUAAAGUGGGGGAAUGUGCUAUUUGCUUUACUUUCAGGGACAGAGUCCCUGUCUCAUACCGGACAAGCACGGCUUGGAGAGGACCUGAGUAUGGAACAUCAGAUGAAUUUGGAAGAACCCUAACAUCGCCUGCCCUGAAGUCCUCAGUUGAAGCUCUCUUGCCUGAGCAUACCUGAAGUGAAAGGGACAGAGUCCCUGUCACAUACCGGACAAGCACGGCUUGGAGAGGAACUGAGUAUGGAACAUCAGAUGAAGUUGGAAGAAGCCUAACAUCGCCUGCCCUGAUGUCAUCAGUUGAAGCUCUCUUGCCUGAGAAUACGUGAAGUGAAAGGGACAGAGUCCCUGUCUCAUACCGGACAAGCACGGCUUGGAGAGGAACUGAGUAUGGAACAUCAGAUGAAGUUGGAAGAAGCCUAACAUCGCCUGCCCUGAAGUCCUCAGUUGAAGCUCUCUUGCCUGAGGAUACCUGAAGUGAAAGGUAAGAAACACUUGACUUUCCAAAGGAACUCAAAGUGCUCAGGUGUUGAUGGAGCUCGCAGGAGUUCCCAACCUUGAAUCAUGAUCCUUUGGGACCUGGUUCAGGCUCACUGCCUGUGGCUACUCCUGUGAUUGGAGAAUAGGCCCAUUGGUUCGUGGUAAAGGAUGUGAAUGUCUUGAAUUCUGUUCGCUCACCAAACCUGAUCUAUUUUGAGUAUACUAAGUGUCAUAGCAGGGGGAACACCAGCGUGCUUGGAUCGAUAAUGAUUUCCAAUAAAACAUUCCUUGGACAGCUGAACAAAAUGAGUGAAAACUCAAUACCGCCACUGUCAUCGUGACUGAGGUCCAGCACCUGGGAUCACAAAUGUCACUGAGGGACUCACAUGGCCUCCAUUCACCUUGCGAGACUUGGAUCCAGUGAGAGAGCCUUCAGAAUGUUCUUUGCUUGCCUAAAUCACCAGAAAUCAUGGCCUAAAUCCAGGCUUCACCUUUUGCUCUAAUGAUAACAUGCUUUCCGGUUGAGGAGAUCAUUGUCAGUAUCUUUGAAGUUAGCCCUACCAACUCCAUCAGCAAUAAUGUAUAGUAGGUUGUGAGGCAAAUGUAAGUUUAGCGGGGGCAGCAUAGUUCAACAAUGUACACUGGAAUGUCAGGAAAUGUGUUUCUGUCCGUGUCUGAAUCCUUCGCAUGAAUGAUAACCCUUCUGUUUCAUAAAACAGAGAUACAUAACGGGAAGGUUACAGGCGACAUGUGGAAUGAGGCAGUAGCAAUUCUCAGGAACUAUGGGAAUUGGACUCUUCCUGUGUGAAAACAAAGCUCUGUUUUCUUGAAAGACUGAUUGUGGCCAUGGCAAUUAGGUUGGAAAGAGAGCCUUGGAAUUUAAAAGGUUGGCAUGUAGCCUUCUUGUCGGAGGAUUCUAGAGGUGCAUGCUUUCAAAUGUCCCAGGAUUCAUACCACCUUCAUGGAUGUAUGGAGAACACCCAUUUUAAUCCUAGUUUCUAUGUUUAUUUUUGGGACAUUUUUUGUCAGUCUAUCCGGGUAGUUUGCCACUAGUUCUUAUGGAUUGACUGUAGCAAAAUGGUCUGGACAUACAUCUCCUCCUCUUCUAGGAUCUAAGAAUGUGAGCAUGCAAGUUUGUUUCUUACACACACUCCUUCUAGGAAUUUUAUAUUUUGGUAUGGCCGUAGAAGAUAAGCAUGGAGUGUCUGCAGGAUUAUCUUUCCUUAUGGUCUUGAUGAGGCCUUGCUGAAGGUUAACUUGGCAUUCUGGCUAUGUGUUUUGGGGCUGAUGGUAGUCCUGAUAUCUUAGACAUUGUUCUUUUCUCCAAGCAAAUAUCAACAAGAAAUUGUGUUUCCAUUUGAUUAUGAAAGUGAGCUGUAUGCUUAGGAUCAUGCUGUUGAUAAUAACAUAUAUCUCAGGGACUACAGGUUAUGCUUGUGUUUGGUGACCUGAGAGGGUUUGAACAGACACUUUCUCUGUGGUGAUCAAUGUCAGAUACCGCAGCAAUAGCACUCACAGGAAUUUAGUACCAGUCAAAACCUGAAUAGGAGAUAUAUGAGCAUGGUCAGAGACAGAGAGAAAGAACAAUUGUUGAAGAGGCUAAGCAUGUGUGAGACAGAGGAAGACGGUGAGAGACAGAAAGAGAGAGGGGUGGGAGAGGGGGGGUGAAGUGGAAAAGAGGACACUGUGAUAUUAAAGCAGAUAUCUCGAUUGAGAGAAAUAAGGAAACCAAAUAGAGAGAAUGUGAGUUUGAAACUGAGAAGCUAGGAGAGUCACUGCAAGUCAAUUUCAGAGAGAAAGUGAAGAAGCGAGAGAGAGAAAGAGUACAUAAGAAGUCCAUUCAUCUAAUGUGGAUGAGAAUCUUAUAUGAUAUUUGAAUCGGUUCUCAUCGAGUGCAGAGUAGGAAUAAUAGGUGUAGUAUGUUAUGAUCAUGGAGGGUGCUCAGAUUGUGGCCAAAUCUAUUAAGAUUCUGGUGGUUUCCAUGGGAAGAGUAAGGCCUGAUUUUCUCUGUCAUAUCCGGCUGAACUGAGAUUUACUUAUUUUUGUAGACAACUUCCAUUAAGCCAUGUUGUUGGUCUCAUUCUUUUGUGUUCCUUGUGCCAAUUUCUUUGGAUGGUUCUCAAGUGAUGUAUAUACUACUGUAGUUUUCGUUAUCAGAUAUUGACUUCGUCCCAUCUUAAGAACUUUGUUGCAUGGUAACCUCCAGGAAUUCGGUGAUAGAAUUGGGAAAAUUAUGUCCCCAAACAGUUCCUUGGAGGAAAAAUAUCUCUGAUAUGGAUUGUGAGGGCAAAUUUCUAGAGGACGGAAGGAGUGCUGAGAGAGCCCAAGUGUUCGAUAAAUUAAGAACUAACAACAAUGCAUCACAGUCUCCAUGAUUUGCAAGGAAUCCAAUAAAGUGGGGGAAUGUGCUAUUUGCUUUACUUUCAGGGACAGAGUCCCUGUCUCAUACCGGACAAGCACGGCUUGGAGAGGACCUGAGUAUGGAACAUCAGAUGAAUUUGGAAGAACCCUAACAUCGCCUGCCCUGAAGUCCUCAGUUGAAGCUCUCUUGCCUGAGCAUACCUGAAGUGAAAGGGACAGAGUCCCUGUCACAUACCGGACAAGCACGGCUUGGAGAGGAACUGAGUAUGGAACAUCAGAUGAAGUUGGAAGAAGCCUAACAUCGCCUGCCCUGAUGUCAUCAGUUGAAGCUCUCUUGCCUGAGAAUACGUGAAGUGAAAGGGACAGAGUCCCUGUCUCAUACCGGACAAGGAUGGCUUGCAGAGGAACUGAGUAUGGAACAUCAGAUGAAGUUGGAAGAAGCCUAACAUCGCCUGCCCUGAAGUCCUCAGUUGAAGCUCUCUUGUCUGGGGAUACCUGAAGUGAAAGGGACAGAGUCCCUGUCUCAUACCGGACAAGGAUGGCUUGCAGAGGAACUGAGUAUGGAACAUCAGAUGAAGUUGGAAGAAGCCUAACAUCGCCUGCCCUGAAGUCCUCAGUUGAAGCUCUCUUGUCUGGGGAUACCUGAAGUGAAAGGGACAGAGUCCCUGUCUCAUACCGGACAAGGAUGGCUUGCAGAGGAACUGAGUAUGGAACAUCAGAUGAAGUUGGAAGAAGCCUAACAUCGCCUGCCCUGAAGUCCUCAGUUGAAGCUCUCUUGUCUGGGGAUACCUGAAGUGAAAGGGACAGAGUCCCUGUCUCAUACCGGACAAGGAUGGCUUGCAGAGGAACUGAGUAUGGAACAUCAGAUGAAGUUGGAAGAAGCCUAACAUCGCCUGCCCUGAAGUCCUCAGUUGAAGCUCUCUUGUCUGGGGAUACCUGAAGUGAAAGGGACAGAGUCCCUGUCUCAUACCGGACAAGGAUGGCUUGCAGAGGAACUGAGUAUGGAACAUCAGAUGAAGUUGGAAGAAGCCUAACAUCGCCUGCCCUGAAGUCCUCAGUUGAAGCUCUCUUGUCUGGGGAUACCUGAAGUGAAAGGGACAGAGUCCCUGUCUCAUACCAGACAAGAAUGGCUUGCAGAGGAACUGAGUAUGGAACAUCAGAUGAAGUUGGAAGAAGCCUAACAUCGCCUGCCCUGAUGUCAUCAGUUGAAGCUCUCUUGCCUGAGGAUACCUGAAGUGAAAGGGACAGAGUCCCUGUCUCCUACCGGACAAGGACGGCUUGCAGAGGAUCUGAGUAUGGAACAUCAGAUGAAGUUGGAAGAAGCCUAACAUCGCCCGCCCUGAUGUCAUAAGUUGAAGCUCUCUUGCCUGAGGAUACCUGAAGUGAAAGGAACAGAGUCCCUGUCUCAUACCGGACAAGGACGGCUUGCAGAGGAACUGAGUAUGGAACAUCAGAUGAAGUUGGAAGAAGCCUAACAUCGCCUGCCCUGAUGUCAUCAGUUGAAGCUCUCUUGCCUGAGGAUACCUGAAGUGAAAGGUAAGAAACACUUGACUUUCCAAAGGAACUCAAAAUGCUCAGGUGUUGAUGGAGCUCGCAGGAGUUCCCAACCAUGAAUCAUGAUCCUUUGGGACCUGGUUCAGGCUCACUGCCUGUGGCUACUCCUGUGAUUGGAGAAUAGGCCCAUUGGUUCGUGGUAAAGGAUGUGAAUGUCUUGAAUUCUCUUCCCUCACCAAACCUGAUCUAUUUUGAGUAUACUAAGUGUCAUGGCAGGGGGUACACCAGCAUGCUUGGAUCGAUGAUGAUUUCCAAUAAAACAUUCCUUGGAAAGCUGAACAAAAUGAGUGAAAACUCAAUACCGCCACUAUCAUCGUGACUGAGGUCCAGCACCUGGGAUCACAAAUGUCACUGAGGGACUCACAUGGCCUCCAUUCAUCUUGCGAGACUUGGAUCCAUUGAGAGAGCCUUCAGAAUGUUCUUUGCUUGCCUAAAUCACCAGAAAUCAUGGCCUAAAUCAAGGCUUCACCUUUUGCUCUAAUGAUAACAUGCUUUCCAGUUGAGGAGAUCAUUGUCAUUAUCUUGGAAGUUAGCCCUACCAACUCCAUCAACAAUAAUGUAUAGUAGGUUGUGAGGCAAAUGUAAGUUUAGCGGGGGCAGCAUAGUGCAACAAUGUACACUGGAAUGUCAGGAAAUGUGUUUCUGUCCCUGUCUGAACCUUCGCAUGAAUGAUAACCCUUCUGUUUCAUAAAACAGAGAUACAUAACGGGAAGGUUACAGGCAACAUGUGGAAUGAGGCAGUAGCAAUUCUCAGGAACUAUGGGAAUGUGGACUCUUCCUGUGUGAAAACAAAGCUCUGUUUUCUUGAAAGACUGAUUGUGGCCAUGGCAAUUAGGUUGGAAAGAGCCUUGGAAUUUAAAAGGUUGGCAUGUAGCCUUCGUGUCGGUGGAUUCUAGAAGGACAUGCUUUCAAAUGUCCCAGUAUUCAUACCACCUUCAUGGAUGUAUGGAGAACACACAUUUUAAUCCUAGUUUCUAUUUUUAUUGUUGGGAUAUUUUUUGUCAGUCUAUCCGGGUAGUUUGCCAGCAGUUGUUAUGGAUUGACUGUACCAAAAUGGUCUGGACAUACAUCUCUACCUAUUCUAGGAUCUAAGAAUGUGAUCAUGCAAGUUUGUUUCUUACACAACUCCUUCUAGGAAUUUUAUAUUUUGGUAUGUCCGUAGAAGAUAGGCAUGGAGUGUCUGCGGGAUUAUCUUUCCUUAUGGUCUUGAUGUGGCCUUGCUGAAGAUUAACUUGACAUUUUGGCUAUGUCUUUUGGGGCUGAUGGUAGUCCUGUUAUCUUAGACAUUGUUCUUUUCUCCAAACAAAUAUCAACAAGUAAUUGUGUUUCCAUUUGAUUAUGAAAGUGAGCUGUAUGCUUAGUAUCAUGCUGUUGAUAAUAACAUAUAUCUCAGUGACUACAGGUUAUGCUUGUGUUUGGUGACCUGAGAGGGUUUGAACAGACACUUUCUCUGUGGUGAUCAAUGUCAGAUACCACAGCAAUAGCACUCACAGGAAUUUAGUACCAGUCAAAACCUGAAUAGGAGAUAUAUGAGCAUGGACAGAGACAGAGAGUAAGAACAAUUGUUGAAGAGGAUAAGCAUUUGUGAGACAGAGGAAGACAGUAAGAGACAGAAAGAGAGAGGGGGGGGAAGAGAGGGGGUGGGAAGUGAAAGAGGACACUGUGAUAUUAAAGCAGAUAUCUUGAUUGACAGAAAUAAGGAAACCAUAUAGAGAGAAUGUGAGUGAGAAACUGAGAAGCUACGAGAGUCACUGCAAGUCAAUUUCAGAGAGAAAGUGAAGAAACAAGAUAGAGAAAGAGUACAUAAGAAGUCCAUUCCUCUAAUGUGGAUGAGAAUCUUAUAUGAUAUUUGAAUCUGUUCUCAUCGAAGGCAGAGUAGGACUAAUAGGUGUAGUAAGUUAUGAUUAUGGAGGGUGCUCCGAUUGUGGCCAAAGCAUUUAAGAUUCUGCUGGUUUUCAUGGGAAGAGUAAGGCCUGAUUUUCUCUGUCUAUCCGGCUGAACUGAGAUUUACUUAUUUUUGUAGACAACUUCCAUUAAGCCAUGUUAGUGGUCUCAUUCUGUUGUGUACCUCGUGCCAAUUUCUUUGGAUGGUUCUCAAGUGAUGUACAUACUACUGUAGUUUUCGGGAUCAGAUAUUGGCUUCGUACCAUCUUAAGAACUUUGUUGCAUGGUAACCUCCAGGAAUUCGGUGAUAGAAUUGGGAAAAUUAUGUCCCCAAACAGUUCCUUGGAGGAAAAAUAUCUCUGAUAUGGAUUGUGAUGGCAACUAUCUAGAGGACGAGGGGAGUGCUGAGAGAGCCGAAGUGUUCGAUAAAUUAAGAACUAACAACAAUGCAUCACAGUCUCCAUGAUUUUCAAGGAAUCCAAUAAAGUGGGGGAAUGUGCUAUUUGCUUUACUUUCAGGAACAGAGUCCCUGUCUCAUAACGGACAGGGACGGCUUGCAGAGGAUCUGAGUAUGGAACAUCAGAUGAAGUUGGAAGAAGCCUAACAUCGCCUGCCCUGAUGUCAUCAGUUGAGGCUCUCCUGCCUGAGGAUACCUGAAGUGAAAGGGACAGAGUCCCUGUCACCUACCGGACAAGGACGGCUUGCAGAGGAUCUGAGUAUGGAACAUCAGAUGAAGUUGGAAGAAGCCUAACAUCGCCUGCCCUGAUGUCAUCAGUUGAAGCUCUCUUGCCUGAGGAUACUUGAAGUGAAAGGGACAGAGUCCCUGUCUCAUACCGGACAGGGACGGCUUGCAGAGGAUCUGAGUAUGGAACAUCAGAUGAAGUUGGAAGAAGCCUAACAUCGCCUGCCCUGAUGUCAUCAGUUGAGGCUCUCCUGCCUGAGGAUACCUGAAGUGAAAGGGACAGAGUCCCUGUCACCUACCGGACAAGGACGGCUUGCAGAGGAUCUGAGUAUGGAACAUCAGAUGAAGUUGGAAGAAGCCUAACAUCGCCUGCCCUGAUGUCAUCAGUUGAAGCUCUCUUGCCUGAGGAUACCUGAAGUGAAAGGUAAGAAACACUUGACUUUCCAAAGGAACUCAAAAUGCUCAGGUGUUGAUGGAGCUUGCAGGAGUUCCCAACCUUGAAUCAUGAUCCUUUGGGACCUGGUUCAGGCUCACUGCCUGUGGCUACUCCUGUGAUUGGAGAAUAGGCCCAUUGGUUCGUGGUAAAGGAUGUGAAUGUCUUGAAUUCUGCUCCCUCACCAAACCUGAUCUAUUUUGAGUGUACUAAGUGUCAUGGCAGGGGGUACACCAGCGUGCUUGGAUCGAUGAUGGUUUCCAAUAAAACAUUCCUUGGAAAGCUGAACAAAAUGAGUGAAAACUCAAUACCGCCACUAUCAUCGUGACUGAGGUCCAGCACCUGGGAUCACAAAUGUCACUGAGGGACUCACAUGGCCUCCAUUCAUCUUGCGAGACUUGGAUCCAUUGAUAGAGCCUUCAGAAUGUUCUUUGCUUGCCUAAAUCACCAGAAAUCAUGGCCUAAAUCAAGGCUUCACCUUUUGCUCUAAUGAUAACAUGCUUUCCAGUUGAGGAGAUCAUUGUCAUUAUCUUGGAAGUUAGCCCUACCAACUCCAUCAACAAUAAUGUAUAGUAGGUUGUGAGGCAAAUGUAAGUUUAGCGGGGGCAGCAUAGUGCAACAAUGUACACUGAAAUGUCAGGAAAUGUGUUUCUGUCCCUGUCUGAACCUUCGCAUGAAUGAUAACCCUUCUGUUUCAUAAAACAGAGAUACAUAACGGGAAGGUUACAGGCGACAUGUGGAAUGAGGCAGUAGCAAUUCUCAGGAACUAUGGGAAUGUGGACUCUUCCUGUGUGAAAACAAAGCUCUGUUUUCUUGAAAGACUGAUUGUGGCCAUGGCAAUUAGGUUGGAAAGAGAGCCUUGGAAUUUAAAAGGUUGGCAUGUAGCCUUCUUGUCGGUGGAUUCUAGAAGGACAUGCUUUCAAAUGUCCCAGGAUUCAUACCACCUUCAUGGAUGUAUGGAGAACACCCAUUUUAAUCCUAGUUUCUAUUUUUAUUGUUGGGAUAUUUUUUGUCAGUCUAUCCGGGUAGUUUGCCAGCAGUUGUUAUGGAUUGACUGUACCAAAAUGGUCUGGACAUACAACUCCACCUAUUCUAGGAUCUAAGAAUGUGAUCAUGCAAGUUUGUUUCUUACACAACUCCUUCUAGGAAUUUUAUAUUUUGGUAUGUCCGUAGAAGAUAGGCAUGGAGUGUCUGCGGGAUUAUCUUUCCUUAUGGUCUUGAUGUGGCCUUGCUGAAGAUUAACUUGACAUUUUGGCUAUGUCUUUUGGGGCUGAUGGUAGUCCUGUUAUCUUAGACAUUGUUCUUUUCUCCAAGCAAAUAUCAACAAGUAAUUGUGUUUCCAUUUGAUUAUGAAAGUGAGCUGUAUGCUUAGUAUCAUGCUGUUGAUAAUAACAUAUAUCUCAGUGACUACAGGUUAUGCUUGUGUUUGGUGACCUGAGAGGGUUUGAACAGACACUUUCUCUGUGGUGAUCAAUGUCAGAUACCACAGCAAUAGCACUCACAGGAAUUUAGUACCAGUCAAAACAUGAAUAGGAGAUAUAUGAGCAUGGACAGAGACAGAGAGUAAGAACAAUUGUUGAAGAGGAUAAGCAUUUGUGAGACAGAGGAAGACAGUAAGAGACAGAAAGAGAGAGGGGGGGGAAGAGAGGGGGUGGGAAGUGAAAGAGGACACUGUGAUAUUAAAGCAGAUAUCUUGAUUGACAGAAAUAAGGAAACCAUAUAGAGAGAAUGUGAGUGAGAAACUGAGAAGCUAGGAGAGUCACUGCAAGUCAAUUUCAGAGAGAAAGUGAAGAAACAAGAUAGAGAAAGAGUACAUAAGAAGUCCAUUCCUCUAAUGUGGAUGAGAAUCUUAUAUGAUAUUUGAAUCUGUUCUCAUCGAAGGCAGAGUAGGACUAAUAGGUGUAGUAAGUUAUGAUUAUGGAGGGUGCUCCGAUUGUGGCCAAAGCAUUUAAGAUUCUGCUGGUUUUCAUGGGAAGAGUAAGGCCUGAUUUUCUCUGUCUAUCCGGCUGAACUGAGAUUUACUUAUUUUUGUAGACAACUUCCAUUAAGCCAUGUUAGUGGUCUCAUUCUGUUGUGUACCUCGUGCCAAUUUCUUUGGAUGGUUCUCAAGUGAUGUACAUACUACUGUAGUUUUCGGGAUCAGAUAUUGGCUUCGUACCAUCUUAAGAACUUUGUUGCAUGGUAACCUCCAGGAAUUCGGUGAUAGAAUUGGGAAAAUUAUGUCCCCAAACAGUUCCUUGGAGGAAAAAUAUCUCUGAUAUGGAUUGUGAUGGCAACUAUCUAGAGAACGAGGGGAGUGCUGAGAGAGCCGAAGUGUUCGAUAAAUUAAGAACUAACAACAAUGCAUCACAGUCUCCAUGAUUUUCAAGGAAUCCAAUAAAGUGGGGGAAUGUGCUAUUUGCUUUACUUUCAGGGACAGAGUCCCUGUCUCAUACCGGACAGGGACGGCUUGCAGAGGAUCUGAGUAUGGAACAUCAGAUGAAGUUGGAAGAAGCCUAACAUCGCCUGCCCUGAUGUCAUCAGUUGAGGCUCUCCUGCCUGAGGAUACCUGAAGUGAAAGGGACAGAGUCCAUGUCUCAUACCGGACAAGGACGGCUUGCAGAGGAUCUGAGUAUGGAACAUCAGAUGAAGUUGGAAGAAGCCUAACAUCGCCUGCCCUGAUGUCAUCAGUUGAAGCUCUCUUGCCUGAGGAUACCUGAAGUGAAAGGUAAGAAACACUUGACUUUCCAAAGGAACUCAAAAUGCUCAGGUGUUGAUGGAGCUCGCAGGAGUUCCCAACCUUGAAUCAUGAUCCUUUGGGACCUGGUUCAGGCUCACUGCCUGUGGCUACUCCUGUGAUUGGAGAAUAGGCCCAUUGGUUCGUGGUAAAAGAUGUGAAUGUCUUGAAUUCUGCUCCCUCACCAAACCUGAUCUAUUUUGAGUGUACUAAGUGUCAUGGCAGGGGGUACACCAGCGUGCUUGGAUCGAUGAUGGUUUCCAAUAAAACAUUCCUUGGAAAGCUGAACAAAAUGAGUGAAAACUCAAUACCGCCACUAUCAUCGUGACUGAGGUCCAGCACCUGGGAUCACAAAUGUCACUGAGGGACUCACAUGGCCUCCAUUCAUCUUGCGAGACUUGGAUCCAGUGUUAGAGCCUUCAGAAUGUUCUUUGCUUGCCUAAAUCACCAGAAAUCAUGACCUAAAUCAAGGCUUCACCAUUUGCUCUAAUGAUAACAUGCUUUCCAGUUGAGGAGAUCAUUGUCAUUAUCUUGGAAGUUAGCCCUACCAACUCCAUCAACAAUAAUGUAUAGUAGGUUGUGAGGCAAAUGUAAGUUUAGCGGGGGCAGCAUAGUGCAACACUGUACACUGGAAUGUCAGGAAAUGUGUUCCUGUCCCUGUCUGAACCUUCGCAUGAAUGAUAAAACUUCUGUUUCAUAAAACAGAGAUACAUAACGGGAAGGUUACAGGCGACAUGUGGAAUGAGGCAGUAGCAAUUCUCAGGAACUAUGGGAAUGUGGACUCUUCCUGUGUGAAAACAAAGCUCUGUUUUCUUGAAAGACUGAUUGUGGCCAUGGCAAUUAGGUUGGAAAGAGAGCCUUGGAAUUUAAAAGGUUGGCAUGUAGCCUUCUUGUCGGUGGAUUCUAGAAGGACAUGCUUUCAAAUGUCCCAGGAUUCAUACCACCUUCAUGGAUGUAUGGAGAACACCCUUUUUAAUCCUAGUUUCUAUUUUUAUUGUUGGGACAUUUUUUGUCAGUCUAUCCGGGUAGUUUGCCAGCAGUUGUUAUGGAUUGACUGUACCAAAAUGGUCUGGACAUACAUCUCCACCUAUUCUAGGAUCUAAGAAUGUGAUCAUGCAAGUUUGUUUCUUACACACACUCCUUCUAGGAAUUUUAUAUUUUGGUAUGGCCGUAGAAGAUAGGCAUGGAGUGUCUGCGGGAUUAUCUUUCCUUAUGGUCUUCAUGUGGCCUUGCUGAAGAUUAACUUGGCAUUUUGGCUAUGUGUUUUGGGGCUGAUGGUAGUCCUGUUAUCUUAGACAUUGUUCUUUUCUCCAAGCAAAUAUCAACAAGUAAUUGUGUUUCCAUUUGAUUAUAAAGUGAGCUGUAUGCUUAGGAUCAUGCUGUUGAUAAUAACAUAUAUCUCAGUGACUACAGGUUAUGCUUGUGUUUGGUGACCUGAGAGGGUUUGAACAGACACUUUCUCUGUUGUGAUCAAUGUCAGAUACCACAGCAAUAGCACUCACAGGAAUUUAGUACCAGUCAAAACCUGAAUAGGAGAUAUGAGCAUGGACAGAGACAGAGAGAAAGAACAAUUGUUGAAGAGGCUAAGCAUGUGUGAGACAGAGGAAGACAGUAAGAGACAGAAAGGGGGGGGGAAGAGUGGGGGUGAGAAGUGAAAGAGGACACUGUGAUAUUAAAGCAGAUAUCUUGAUUGACAGAAAUAAGGAAACCAAAUAGAGAGAAUGUGAAUGAGAAACUGAGAAGCUAGGAGAGUCACUGCUAGUCAAAUUCAGAGAGAAAGUGAAGAAGCGAGAUAGAGAAGGAGUACAUAAGAAGUCCAUACAUCUAAUGUGGAUCAGAAUCUUAUAUGAUAUUUGAAUCGGUUCUCAUCGAAGGCAGAGUAGGACUAAUAGGUGUAGUAUGUUAUGAUUAUCGAGGGUGCUCCGAUUGUGGCCAAAGCUAUUAAGAUCCUGGUGGUUUCCAUGGGAAGAGUAAGGCCUGAUUUUCUCUGUCUAUCCGGCUGAACUGAGAUUUACUUAUUUUUGUAGACAACUUCCAUUAAGCCAUGUUAGUGGUCUCAUUCUGUUGUGUACCUCGUGCCAAUUUCUUUGGAUGGUUCUCAAGUGAUGUACAUACUACUGUAGUUUUCGGGAUCAGAUAUUGGCUGCGUCCCAUCUUAAGAACUUUGUUGCAUGGUAACCUCCAGGAAUUCGGUGAUAGAAUUGGGAAAAUUAUGUCCCCAAUCAGUUCCUUGGAGGAAAAAUAUCUCUGAUAUGGAUUGUGAGGGCAAAUUUCUAGAGGACGGAAGGAGUGCUGAGACAGCCCAAGUGUUCGAUAAAUUAAGAACUAACAACAAUGCAUCACAGUCUCCAUGAUUUUCAAGGAAUCCAAUAAAGUGGGGGAAUGUGCUAUUUGCUUUACUUUCAGGGACAGAGUCCCUGUCACCUACCGGACAAGGACGGCUUGCAGAGGAUCUGAGUAUGGAACAUCAGAUGAAGUUGGAAGAAGCCUAACAUCGCCUGCCCUGAUGUCAUCAGUUGAAGCUCUCUUGCCUGAGGAUACCUGAAGUGAAAGGUAAGAAACACUUGACUUUCCAAAGGAACUCAAAAUGCUCAGGUGUUGAUGGAGCUCGCAGGAGUUCCCAACCUUGAAUCAUGAUCCUUUGGGACCUGGUUCAGGCUCACUGCCUGUGGCUACUCCUGUGAUUGGAGAAUAGGCCCAUUGGUUCGUGGUAAAGGAUGUGAAUGUCUUGAAUUCUGCUCCCUCACCAAACCUGAUCUAUUUUGAGUGUACUAAGUGUCAUGGCAGGGGGUACACCAGCGUGCUUGGAUCGAUGAUGGUUUCCAAUAAAACAUUCCUUGGAAAGCUGAACAAAAUGAGUGAAAACUCAAUACCGCCACUAUCAUCGUGACUGAGGUCCAGCACCUGGGAUCACAAAUGUCACUGAGGGACUCACAUGGCCUCCAUUCAUCUUGCGAGACUUGGAUCCAUUGAUAGAGCCUUCAGAAUGUUCUUUGCUUGCCUAAAUCACCAGAAAUCAUGGCCUAAAUCAAGGCUUCACCUUUUGCUCUAAUGAUAACAUGCUUUCCAGUUGAGGAGAUCAUUGUCAUUAUCUUGGAAGUUAGCCCUACCAACUCCAUCAACAAUAAUGUAUAGUAGGUUGUGAGGCAAAUGUAAGUUUAGCGGGGGCAGCAUAGUGCAACAAUGUAAACUGAAAUGUCAGGAAAUGUGUUUCUGUCCCUGUCUGAACCUUCGCAUGAAUGAUAACCCUUCUGUUUCAUAAAACAGAGAUACAUAACGGGAAGGUUACAGGCGACAUGUGGAAUGAGGCAGUAGCAAUUCUCAGGAACUAUGGGAAUGUGGACUCUUCCUGUGUGAAAACAAAGCUCUGUUUUCUUGAAAGACUGAUUGUGGCCAUGGCAAUUAGGUUGGAAAGAGAGCCUUGGAAUUUAAAAGGUUGGCAUGUAGCCUUCUUGUCGGUGGAUUCUAGAAGGACAUGCUUUCAAAUGUCCCAGGAUUCAUACCACCUUCAUGGAUGUAUGGAGAACACCCAUUUUAAUCCUAGUUUCUAUUUUUAUUGUUGGGACAUUUUUUGUCAGUCUAUCCGGGUAGUUUGCCAGCAGUUGUUAUGGAUUGACUGUACCAAAAUGGUCUGGACAUACAUCUCCACCUAUUCUAGGAUCUAAGAAUGAGAUCAUGCAAGUUUGUUUCUUACACACACUCCUUCUAGGAAUUUUAUAUUUUGGUAUGGCCGUAGAAGAUAGGACUGGAAUGUCUGCGGGAUUAUCUUUCCUUAUGGUCUUGAUGUGGCCUUGCUGAAGAUUAACUUGGCAUUUUGGCUAUGUGUUUUGGGGCUGAUGGUAGUCCUGUUACCUUAGACAUUGUUCUUUUCUCCAAGCAAAUAUCAACAAGUAAUUGUGUUUCCAUUUGAAUAUGAAAGUGAGCUGUAUGCUUAGGAUCAUGCUGUUGAUAAUAACAUAUAUCUCAGUGACUACAGGUUAUGCUUGUGUUUGGUGACCUGAGAGGGUUUGAACAGACACUUUCUCUGUGGUGAUCAAUGUCAGAUACCACAGCAAUAGCACUCACAGGAAUUUAGUACCAGUCAAAACCUGAAUAGGAGAUAUAUGAGCAUGGACA